GCCACCACCACCUCUCAUUCGU
rnacentral:siRNA from 1 species